rnacentral:rRNA from 1 species
AGAGUUUGAUCCUGGCUCAGGAUGAACGCUAGCUACAGGCUUAACACAUGCAAGUCGAGGGGAAACGAUAUUGGAAGCUUGCUUCCGAUAGGCGUCGACCGGCGCACGGGUGAGUAACGCGUAUCCAACCUGCCCACCACUUGGGGAUAACCUUGCGAAAGUAAGACUAAUACCCAAUGACGUCUCUAGAAGACAUCUGAAGGAGAUUAAAGAUUUAUCGGUGAUGGAUGGGGAUGCGUCUGAUUAGCUUGUUGGCGGGGUAACGGCCACAAGGCGACGAUCAGUAGGGGUUCUGAGAGGAAGGUCCCCCACAUUGGAACUGAGACACGGUCCAAAACUCCUACGGGAGCA